UCGAGAAUCUUUCACAAUGGGGGCAACCCUGAUGGAGCGACGCCGCGUGGAGGAUAAGGUCUUCGGAUUGUAAACUCCUGUCAUGCGAGAACAAAGCCUCACGGCCUGAUAGUAUCGCAAGAGGAAGAGACGGCUAACUCUGUGCCAGCAGCCGCGGUAAUACAGAGGUCUCAAGCGUUGUUCGGAAUCACUGGGCGUAAAGGGUGCGUAGGCGGCGCGGAAAGUCAGAUGUGAAAUCCGGAGGCUCAACCUCCGAAUUGCAUCCGAUACUCCCGCGCUGGAGAAUUGUAGAGGGGCUUGGAAUUCUCGGUGUAGCAGUGAAAUGCGUAGAUAUCGAGAAGAACGCUCGCAGCGAAAGCUGGGCUCUGGGCAAUUUCUGACGCUGAUGCACGAAGGCUAGGGGAGCAAACGGGAUUAGAUACCCCCGUAGUCC
rnacentral:rRNA from 1 species